UGCUGCUGGGGUGAGUCGGGUGUGAGCCUCUGGCACCCUGUGCAGUUGGAGGUGGAGGGUGCUGGCUGGGUCCAAGAGUGUGGGGAGAGGCAGGCACCCCAGCCCUGAGCCUGUGCCCCGCCCACACUGCCCUGUGCCCCACGGCCGGCAGAGGGCGCCCGUGAGCUGCUAGAAGGCUGGGCGGCGGUGAGAGGGGCUCAGUGCAGAGCUUGGCGGGCACGCGGUCCCGGGCUGACUAAGGGAUGGACAAACCGAUUCAAGGAUCCACAGAUAGCGGGGACCCGACUGUGACUCCUCCGCGUUCCAGAUGUGCACUGGCUGCCCCCCCCCCCCCCGCACACCCCGGGGUGCCCAUGGCGCAGCUCGCGGCGUCCCUGACCUGGAAGGCGCUGCUGCCAGCGGCCGAGCUCCCAGAUUGAAUGAAACAGAGACAGACAGAGACAUAGACAGAGGAAAAUACACAAAGGCAAUGAGGUUUCCUCCGUACCUAGACCUGUGUCAUGCACGUGGAAAAAUGAAUACAUUCCCAGAUGUCCUUGUAUGGAGUAAUGCAAGGUUAUUUCACUGGGCCUGGUCAAUUGGCCUCAAUUCUUAUGCCCAUAACCUUUCCAAGAGCGGGCUUCAUGGGGCAGUUAUUGCCCUGGAAGACACUUUCAACCACCAGAGUCUCACCAGUAUAUUAAAAAUCCCUCAGUGGGACGAAAACAAUGCUAAGGUAAUUAAACAUGGAAGCACUGACCUUUCACAA